AAAGGUGUGUCAGCAACUAACUCAGGUUCUUAAAAGGGAAAUGAUACACCAAGGGCUUGAAACAUAUUGCCAGCAACUUUCUAGAAAGAUGGAAACAAAUAAUGCUUCUGCUAGCAAGAGAAGCCAGAAGGAAGGAAUUCAAUUUUUAUGGUCCCUAAGAUUUCAGUACAGAGCACCGCAGUA